rnacentral:rRNA from 1 species
AUUGAACGCUGGCGGCAGGCCUAACACAUGCAAGUCGAGCGGAUGAAGGGAGCUUGCUCCUGGAUUCAGCGGCGGACGGGUGAGUAAUGCCUAGGAAUCUGCCUGGUAGUGGGGGAUAACGUCCGGAAACGGGCGCUAAUACCGCAUACGUCCUGAGGGAGAAAGUGGGGGAUCUUCGGACCUCACGCUAUCAGAUGAGCCUAGGUCGGAUUAGCUAGUUGGUGGGGUAAAGGCCUACCAAGGCGACGAUCCGUAACUGGUCUGAGAGGAUGAUCAGUCACACUGGAACUGAGACACGGUCCAGACUCCCACAGGAGGCAGCAGUGGGGAAUAUUGGACAAUGGGCGAAAGCCUGAUCCAGCCAUGCCGCGUGUGUGAAGAAGGUCUUCGGAUUGUAAAGCACUUUAAGUUGGGAGGAAGGGCAGUAAGUUAAUACCUUGCUGUUUUGACGUUACCAACAGAAUAAGCACCGGCUAACUUCGUG